rnacentral:rRNA from 1 species
CCUACGGGGGGCUGCAGUGGGGAAUAUUGGACAAUGGGCGAAAGCCUGAUCCAGCCAUGCCGCGUGUGUGAAGAAGGCCUUCGGGUUGUAAAGCACUUUCAGUGGGGAAGAAAGCCUUGGGGCUAAUACCCUCGAGGAAGGACAUCACCCACAGAAGAAGCACCGGCUAACUCCGUGCCAGCAGCCGCGGUAAUACGGAGGGUGCGAGCGUUAAUCGGAAUUACUGGGCGUAAAGCGCGCGUAGGCGGUCUGAUAAGCCGGUUGUGAAAGCCCCGGGCUCAACCUGGGAACGGCAUCCGGAACUGUCAGGCUAGAGUGCAGGCGAGGAAGGUAGAAUUCCCGGUGUAGCGGUGAAAUGCGUAGAGAUCGGGAGGAAUACCAGUGGCGAAGGCGGCCUUCUGGACUGACACUGACGCUGAGGUGCGAAAGCGUGGGUAGCAAACAGGAUUAGAUACCCGGGUAGUC